rnacentral:rRNA from 1 species
CAGUAGCCGCGGGAAUACGGAGGGUGCAAGCGUUAAUCGGAAUUACUGGGCGUAAAGCGUGCGUAGGUGGUGGUUUAAGUCCGUUGUGAAAGCCCUGGGCUCAACCUGGGAAUUGCAGUGGAUACUGGGUCACUAGAGUGUGGUAGAGGAUAGUGGAAUUUCCGGUGUAGCAGUGAAAUGCGUAGAGAUCGGAAGGAACAUCUGUGGCGAAGGCGACUAUCUGGGCCAACACUGACACUGAGGCACGAAAGCGUGGGGAGCAAACAGGAUUAGAGACCCGCGUAGUCCCUGUCUCUUAUAC